rnacentral:rRNA from 1 species
CGCAUGCCACCAGUUGAGCCCUAUCUCCUGCCAGGCGGCUCCCCCUCCCCGGUGGCAGCCACAGAUCUCCGGCAUGGAGCAUGUGUGGCACUCCCUGCUCAUGUGGUGACUGUCUUCUGCAGCUGUCGUGAUCCACCGCGCGAGCCUGCUGUUGGUGACCUCAAUCUCUCACCGCAGCUUCUCCAGCUUUUCCCUCCGGUCGUUGCCCCUGGUGGUGCUUCGCUCGUGUUGCCCCAUCGUUUGAGGAGGCUGCGCCUAGCAACGUCGCCCAACCUCCGGAUGGGCCUGCCCGGGUGGAUCUGGUGGUUGCUGCCCAACGGGAGGAGGUGCUAGCUGGUGAUUCCUAGACGGUUGCUCCCUCCCCUAGACGCAGCCCCCAGAUCAGCCGUGCUUACGAUGGGGUGGAUGUUGGCUCCAUCGAGCGUGCAACCAAGAGGAAGGCCGUGGCGGAUUCCAACUCGGGGAGUGACGCUCCCCGGCGCCAUAGGCCUUCUCCUUCCUCGAGGCGCAAUAAGGCGAAAGCGGUAGCGGUGGAACGGCUCCUCCAGCUGCCGCUGCUGGAGACGCCCGCGCCCCUGACCAGGGGCAAGCUGAAGCAAAUCGCCCUUCGUUGUGAUCUCAAUGUUGCUGCCAUCCUCGACCAAGCACAGGAGCGUGCUACCAGAGUUUCUUAUGAUGGAGCGGCUGCCUCGACUUCUGACGGUGGUUCCUCUGCUUCCUCAGUGCGCGCCAACAGCCUUUCUAAUGAGUAGUUCAAUCCUGGCUAUGUUUCAUGGGUCUUGGUCUCGGUCUGCAUCAGUCUUUGCUGCUUCAUGCCAGCAGCUUGUAUCAAUUCCUUUUCGUUCCUUCAGUAGUCCUGGUGUCUUUUCUUGUUGUAUGCAUGUUCUGUUUCGUAAUCUGUUAGGUGUCCGUUCCGAUUUGCUUAGCUGCAGAUUCCAGUUUGUAUCGAGGUUGUCGUCCUCCAUGUCUUGUUUUCAUGUAUCCUCUACUUGCAUUUCUUCGAUCAUGUAUCUACUUUCUCUGUUCUUCCUUUAGGUUGCGUGCU